rnacentral:rRNA from 1 species
UUCAAGCCACAAGUCAGUCAAAGAGUCAAAUGCUUUUUGGCGGGUUGACAAGUGGUGAUGAGGACCGAAAUUUAAGUAGGGAAGCAACCGACGUCACACUGCCGAGAAAAGCUUCUAGUGAGUCAUCAACUACCCGUACCGCAAACCGACACAGGUAGUCGAGGAGAGAAUCCUCAGGUGAGCGAGUGAACUCUCGUUAAGGAACUCGGCAAAAUGACCCCGUAACUUCGGGAGAAGGGGUGCUGUGCGCAAGCACAGCCGCAGUGAAAAGGCCCAGGCGACUGUUUAUCAAAAACACAGGUUUCUGCAAAAUCGUAAGAUGACGUAUAGGGGCUGACGCCUGCCCGGUGCUGGAAGGUUAAGUGGAUGAGUUAGCUUCGGCGAAGCCCAGAAAUGAAGCCCCAGUAAACGGCGGCCGUAACUAUAACGGUCCUAAGGUAGCGAAAUUCCUUGUCGGGUAAGUUCCGACCCGCACGAAAGGCGUAACGAUCUGGGCACUGUCUCAACGAGAGACUCGGUGAAAUUAAGAUACCUGUGAAGAAGCAGGUUACCCGCGACAGGACGGAAAGACCCCAUGGAGCUUUACUGUAGCUUGAUAUUGGGUGUUGACACAGCUUGUACAGGAUAGGUAGGAGCCAUUGAAGCCGGAACGCUAGUUUCGGCAGAGGCGUUGGUGGGAUACUACCCUCGCUGUGUGAACACUCUAACCCGCGCCACUCAGCGUGGCGGGAGACAGUGUCAGGUAGGCAGUUUGACUGGGGCGGUCGCCUCCCAAACAGUAACGGAGGCGCCCAAAGGUUCCCUCAGAAUGGUUGGAAAUCAUUCAACGAGUGUAAAGGCAGAAGGGAGCUUGACUGCGAGACAGACAGGUCGAGCAGGGACGAAAGUCGGGCUUAGUGAUCCGGUGGUACCGUAUGGAAGGGCCAUCGCUCAACGGAUAAAAGCUACCCUGGGGAUAACAGGCUUAUCUCCCCCAAGAGUCCACAUCGACGGGGAGGUUUGGCACCUCGAUGUCGGCUCAUCGCAUCCUGGGGCUGUAGUCGGUCCCAAGGGUUGGGCUGUUCGCCCAUUAAAGCGGUACGCGAGCUGGGUUCAGAACGUCGUGAGACAGUUCGGUCCCUAUCCGUCGCGGGCGUAGGAAAUUUGAGAGGAGCUGUCCUUAGUACGAGAGGACCGGGAUGGACAUACCGCUGGUGUACCAGUUGCGCCGCCAGGCGCACCGCUGGGUAGCUACGUAUGGAUGAGAUAAACGCUGAAAGCAUCUAAGUGUGAAACUUACCUCAAGAUGAGAUUUCCCAUUCCUAUAUGGAAGUAAGACCCCUGAGAGAUGAUCAGGUAGAUAGGUUGGAAGUGGAAGUGCAGUGAUGUACGGAGCGGACCAAUACUAAUCGGUCGAGGACUUAACCAAG